GAGAGCUAGUUAAUAGUCUGAGUGGCUGGUGACUAUUUUUUGCCUACCAGACACUGACACUGGUUCACCGAAAGAUUAAGGUCAUGCCCAGGUUACAAUGGUCAGCUAUUGCAUGGUCAGCUAUUAUAUCAAUAGCUCAUUUACAUGGCUGCACUACAGCAGAGGUUCCACCAGCAUAAAUUUGAGUCAGUCAACAUGACUGACGGGAUUGAAGAAAAUCUGCCAUUGUCCAUUUAUCGGUCGCUUAGGGUACAUUUUUAAUCAUCGUUAUAGCCUUUAAAAAAAUGUUUUAUUGAAAAUAAUCUUGACACCUUUAUUAGUCAAUAUUUAAAAAUACUGCUUAGAUUUUUUUUCUGUAGCGUUGGCUGAGGGAAGGUGUAUGUAGAUAGCACCAGCAUCUUGAAAAUAAGCCUGGAGAGUAACAUUAUUUAAUGUUAAUGUUUAAUUUUCGUUGUGGCUGUAAAAAUUGUGCAGUGAAUAUGGUUUUUCUCAUUUUUUUUACAGUUUUCUUGGAUAUACUUCGUUGUCGUGUGGGGGAAUCCCUAUCCAUAGAAAUACCUGAUGAUGACCUGUGUCAAACUUCAGUGUAUGUACAGAGAAAAUUGGCCAAGUGUUCGAGUAUAGCAAGAAGCUGUCAGAGUUGACUGUGGAUCCACGUUAUCAGGACAGGAUCCAGUUGAAGAAUGACAACAACGGCCUUGCUGUUGUAAUUUGGAAUGUAACCAAAGAAGAUGUAAAGCAACACUUUUAUGUGGACUGCGCUUCUACAAUUCUAAAGAGAUUUGUAAUUCAAAUUCCAAGAAGUAUUGAGAGUUCAACCACCACAGCAUUCCCCCAACCAUCUACAACCACACCAGGGGGUAGCACUGAGAGUUCAACCACCACCGCAGCCCCCCAACCAUUUUCAACCACACCAGGUCUACCUGUCGAACAUCUUGCUUGGCUGGUACUGGUACCAGUAUGCCUAGGCGGCGUAGUACUACACAUCAGGAAUCG